rnacentral:tRNA from 1 species
GAUAAUGUGCCUGACCUAAAAGGGCUAUUUUGAUAGAAUAGAGCAUGUAAAAUUUUACUGUUAUCU